GCCAUCGUGGCAUAGUGGUUUGAGUGUUGGAUUACAACUUUAGAGACCAGUGUUCAAUUCCCAGCUCAGCCA